AUUAAAUGAUGCAAAUAAUAUUGCCUGAUAAAUUUAUGAUUAAAUUAAAAUAUCGAGCUUUUUAACACUGAAUAAUU